UUGGGUUAAGUCCCGCAACGAGCGCAACCCCUGUCCUUAGUUGCCAUCGAGUAAUGUCGGGCACUCUAGGGAGACUGCCGGGGACGACCCGGAGGAAGGCGGGGAUGACGUCAAGUCAUCAUGCCCCUUAUGUCCUGGGCUACACACGUACUACAAUGGCCAGUACAGAGCGAUGCAAAAGCGUGAGCUGGAGCGGACCGCAAAAAGCUGGUCUCAGUUCGGAUCGCAGGCUGCAACCCGCCUGCGUGAAGUCGGAAUCGCUAGUAAUCUCGGGUCAGCAUACCGAGGUGAAUACGUUCCCGGGCCUUGUACACACCGCCCGUCACACCACGAAAGUCUGCUACACCCGAAGCCGGUGACUCAACCGCAAGGAGAGAGCCGUCGAAGGUGGAGCCGAUGAUUGGGGUGAAGUCGUACAAGGUACCA
rnacentral:rRNA from 1 species